CCUUGAUCCACUGGGCAAUCUGAUUGAUUUUGGGCUUCAUAAGAUUCCUGCCUUUUGUCAACUUCACCAUACAGCAUGCAGACGAAUUCCAGUUCUAGUGACAAUGUACCCAUUUUGUCGACAUUCAACAACCUAAUUACUGAGAUCUUUCUCCAGCUCAGCAAAUGAAGCACACCUCAUUGGAUGUUUUUUCUUGCUU